ACCAAAACCGAUCACCCCUGCCGAGAAUAAGAAGAAGGGGAAACGGGGACCCCGCGGGGGAGGGGGGGAGAUGAGCUUCGCAGCAGGCCCAUCAAAUUCCUACCAACCCCCGGCCAAUUCACCCUGCUAAACUCAUCUAAAUUCAUUUCAUGCGUUGAAUCGAGACUUUGAUACCUUUUUUCUUUCACCCAUAAUGGCGAAAUCAAGGAAGAAAACCCUCCGCGUUUGCUCGGUCAAUUUUCGAAUGAGAUAGGGAAACCAAGAUUUAUAUAGGAAGUUUGCGGUCUUCGAUAUGCU
rnacentral:misc_RNA from 1 species